rnacentral:rRNA from 1 species
UGGGGAAUAUUGGACAAUGGGCGCAAGCCUGAUCCAGCCAUGCCGCGUGAGUGACGAAGGCCUUAGGGUUGUAAAGCUCUUUUGGCGGGGACGAUAAUGACGGUACCCGCAGAAUAAGCCCCGGCUAACUUCGUGCCAGCAGCCGCGGUAAUACGAAGGGGGCUAGCGUUGCUCGGAAUUACUGGGCGUAAAGCGCACGUAGGCGGAUGUGCCAGUCAGGGGUGAAAUCCCGAGGCUCAACCUCGGAACUGCCUCCGAUACAGCACGUCUCGAGUCCGGAAGAGGUGAGUGGAAUUCUUAGUGUAGAGGUGAAAUUCGUAGAUAUUAGGAAGAACACCAGUGGCGAAGGCGGCUCACUGGUCCGGUACUGACGCUGAGGUGCGAAAGCGUGGGGAGCAAACAGGAUUAGAUACCCAAGUAGUCCCUGAGCGGGCUGGCAAGGCGCAU